rnacentral:misc_RNA from 1 species
AAGUCGUAACAAGGUUUCCGUAGGUGAACCUGCGGAAGGAUCAUUAACAAAUUAUCCAACUCUACCUUUGUGAACUGUUAUCAUUUCUUGGUGAGCACUGGGCUCGAUGCUUAGCUUGCUUAGCUUGCUUAGCUCACUAGGCUUAACUUAACUGUUAGGUCUAGGUCGGGUCCGACUCACCGCUUAUAUUUACGUUAGCUUAAUUUUUUACUAAAGUUUUAAACAAAACUAAGACAACUUUUAGCAACGGAUCUCUAGGCUCUU